rnacentral:rRNA from 1 species
GAUGAACGCUGGCGGCGUGCCUAAUACAUGCAAGUCGAGCGAAUGGAUUAAGAGCUUGCUCUUAUGAAGUUAGCGGCGGACGGGUGAGUAACACGUGGGUAACCUGCCCAUAAGACUGGGAUAACUCCGGGAAACCGGGGCUAAUACCGGAUAACAUUUUGAACCGCAUGGUUCGAAAUUGAAAGGCGGCUUCGGCUGUCACUUAUGGAAGGACCCGCGUCGCAUUAGCUAGUUGGUUAGGUAACGGCUCACCAAGGCAACGAUGGGUAGCCGACCUGAGAGGGUGAUCGGCCACACUGGGACUGAGACACGGCCCAGACUCCUACGGGAGGCAGCAGUAGGGAAUCUUCCGCAAUGGACGAAAGUCUGACGGAGCAACGCCGCGUGAGUGAUGAAGGCUUUCGGGUCGUAAAACUCUGUUGUUAGGGAAGAACAAGUGCUAGUUGAAUAAGCUGGCACCUUGACGGUACCUAACCAGAAAGCCACGGCUAACUACGUGCCAGCAGCCGCCGUAA